CUUUUCCAUCUUCAGAAGUCUUGGCUUUAGUUUUCAUGGAGUUGCUGUCCUGCAGACAGUCUCUGAACACCAUGUGUAUUUUCUCCAUAAAUAGGGUGUCAUGUUGAUAAACACAGUUUGAUCUCCCAGUUGGAGCAAGAAGACAAGACGGUGACAGAGGAGAGAGGAAUCCUUCCCAGCACCUGUCCAGAUUUGGAUACUGUACUUAAAACCAAAUGGCUGACUCCUAAGAAGCAUGUUUUUAGAAAAGAACAGACUAAAAGUAUAAAAAUGGUAAGACAAUGGAUGAUUUCUGGUUUUCCAUAGUAGGAAGAAAUCCCAUCCUAGAAAAGAAAUAACCCAGACAUUCAUUGUGGAAAGUGUCAUUUACACUUGAGAAAAUGGUGUCCCUAGAGAGAUACUGCAAAAUUGCUGUGACUUUGGAGAAAAGUGUAAGUUAACUUCUAACUUGUUUCUUCACCGAGUGUUCUCACAAAUAAUUAUUUCAUUAAAUGUGACUCAAGUUUUGUGCAUUUGAAACAUAAA